rnacentral:rRNA from 4 species
UACGUAGGGGGCGAGCGUUAUCCGGAUUCAUUGGGCGUAAAGCGCGCGUAGGCGGCCCGGCAGGCCGGGGGUCGAAGCGGGGGGCUCAACCCCCCGAAGCCCCCGGAACCUCCGCGGCUUGGGUCCGGUAGGGGAGGGUGGAACACCCGGUGUAGCGGUGGAAUGCGCAGAUAUCGGGUGGAACACCGGUGGCGAAGGCGGCCCUCUGGGCCGAGACCGACGCUGAGGCGCGAAAGCUGGGGGAGCGAACAGG